GAUGAAGAACGUAGCGAAAUGCGAUAAGUAGUGUGAAUUGCAGAAUUCAGUGAAUCAUCGAAUCUUUGAACGCACAUUGCGCCCCUUGGUAUUCCAUGGGGCAUGCCUGUUCGAGCGUCAUUUACACCCUCAAGCUCUGCUUGGUGUUGGGCGUCUGUCCCGCUGCUUUGCGCGGACUCGCCUCAAAGGUAUUGGCAGCGAUCAUGCCAGCUUCUCGCGCAGCACAUUGCGCUUCUUGAAGUUCUGGUGGAUCAGCGUCCAUUAAGCUUACCUUCAUGACUUGACCUCGAAUCAGGUAGGGAUACCCGCUGAACUUAAGCAUAUCAAUAAGCGGAGGA
rnacentral:misc_RNA from 1 species